ACGCCUCUCAAGCUCCGCCGGAGGCCGCUGGGAACCUCGAAAGCUGCCGGGGUUCAUAGCUGGCGGGAGCCGGAGUGGGCUUUGCUCUUUCGUCCGGUCCUAGCGCCGCUGAUGCUGCUUUUAAAGCUGAAAGAGGACUGCAGCGGAACCUCUCGUUAUUCUGAACCGGUGAGAUGAUGGAAGUGGAUGCGAUCUCAUUCAACCCAUGGAAAUACGGUGGGAGCGAUUGCACGACUGGAAUGCUGCUGUGGAUGGCUGAGUCCCUUUACAGGAGAGGCAGACUGGUGAGGUGGUGGAGUUGCUCUUCCAGAGAGAGAACUGGAACGUGUUGAGCUCUGCCUAAGGAUGAAUGCAGAACUAGGGGAGCAGUGACAUGCGAGGCUCAAGAAGCAGUAAAUGUGGGUAACAACACUGGGUGUGUUGGUUACAGAUGAGGAAGCUGAUAAGAUCUUCUGCAUGUGGCUGACAGUAACCUCACAGCUGUGGACAUUAGCUAUCACAGUAGGCUUGAACCACCCUGCCAUUUGUUAGUAAAGCAGAGCUGUCAGGUAUACCUCAUUCCAGGAGGUUCCUGCAGGUGUCAAAGAUGAAUUUGCUGACAGAGGAGAUGGAGGAGCCAAUGAGGAGUGAGGCGUUGCUGAAUUUUGCUUACUCAGUGUGGAGGAAGGGCUGGUUGGGGAUGUGAAGACUGGGUCAGCCUCAAGUGCAGCAGUUGUGAGCUGGUGAAGUUCAGGAUGUCAUGUAGAAGAUGCAAAGCAGUAAGUAGGAUUGAAACCUCAGAUUUUGAGGGAGCCAACUUAAAGGACCACCUUGGAGGUAUUCCUUGGGUUAGAGCAUUGGGAGGGGUCCUGCCAGCAGCUCUUGACUCUGAUGCAUUACUUGUUUGUGCUCAGGAGGGUAAGAAAUAGAGCAGCAGCGUCAGGAGACCUGCACAGGCAAAGGAGGAGGUCAGAUAACUUUCCUUUUUCUCUGGCUGCUAGGGGUGGGCCUGGAUGUGGUCUGCCCUCUAGAUGAGAUGGCAUGAUUUAACUUGCUGUCAACUGUGGGACUCAGAUUCCUUUUCCCCAGUGCAGCUCUCUGGCCUCAUCCCUCUGGCUGCCCCUCUAAGGUGCAGGCUCAGGUGCUGGCUGCUGUCAAACUUCAGCUAGCUGGCAAUUGUAUGGCCUGCUACUGGGUAGAGAGAGAACUCAGCAGAGCCCUUCUAUUCCUGGGGAGUAUGUCAUUUACUGAUGUCAUUUACUCUGACAACUGCUUGGAGCCUCUUUUGUAUGGGGCCAAGUCAGUGCUUAGCCCUUUGGUUUAAGAAGUACAACUAGGAAGGGCUGUUUCCUGGCACAGGAUUUAGCUUCUGGAUCCCCUUACCUGACAAGAAUUUUCCUUAACCUCCUCAAAGACAUAAUACAUGCUUGGAACAAGAGCCCAGGCAACGAUGUCUUGCUUUUGUAAUGUGGGUGUUUUCUCAUGUGCCAAUAAACUUGUAGGAACAGUUAAACAGAAGCGACAGCAAUUAUUGCAUGUGUUAGACAGUUGAAGUUACUGGAAACAUCCCACUAUAGAUGAAUGGAAUAAGAUGUGUAAUAAAUAUCUGUAAUACAUCAAUUACUUUAUCUGUGUGUGUAUAUAUAAUCUGUAAUA